rnacentral:lncRNA from 1 species
AACAAACAAACGAGGGCCAUAAGCAGUAUCCUCACCGAGCGCCUCAGGGGAGAAAUCCUCGGACCAGCCCUCACACACACACAGAACAGCAUCCUCACCGACCCGCCAACACACACAGAAACAGUAAUCCUCAACACCACCCCUCAACAAAAACACACAAAUACCUCACCAACCCUCCCACACCACGCCACCCUAACCAAACACACAGAACAGUUCCUGCAGCCGGAAGACGCACCUCGACACAAUCACACAGAACAGUAUCCUCACCACCCAGCCCCAAUCCACCCUAACACAAACACACAGAACAGUAUCCUCACCACCCUAACACAAACACACCAGAACAGUAUCCUCACCGGACCCUAACACAAACACACAGAACAUAUCCUCACCCUCCCCCUCAUCCUAACACAAACCACAGAACAGUAUCCUCACCACCUACACAAACACACAGAACAUAUCCACACCACGCUAACACAGAACACACAAACAUGUAUCCUCACCACCUAAACACACACACACAGAACGUAUCCUCACCAACCUAACACAAAACACACAGAAAUUAUCCUCACCACCCUAACACAAACACAACAGAACAGUAUCCUGCACCACCCUCCACCCUAGAAACAAGACACACCAGAGACAGUACUCACCUCCUC